rnacentral:rRNA from 1 species
UACGGAGGAUGCAAGCGUUAUCCGGAAUUAUUGGGCGUAAAGCGUCCGCAGGUGGCACUUCAAGUCUGUCGUCAAAGAGUGGGGCUUAACCCUGGAAAGGCGGUGGAAACUGAAGGGCUAGAGUGCGGUAGGGGUAGAGGGAAUUCCCGGUGUAGCGGUGAAAUGCGUAGAGAUCGGGAAGAACAUCGGUGGCGAAAGCGCUCUACUGGACCGCCACUGACACUCAGGGACGAAAGCUAGGGGAGCGAAUGGG